rnacentral:rRNA from 1 species
UACAGAGGUCUCAAGCGUUGUUCGGAUUCAUUGGGCGUAAAGGGGUGCGUAGGUGGCGAGGUUAGUCAGGUGUGAAAUCUCGGGGCUCAACCCCGAAACUGCACUUGAUACUGCCUUGCUAGAGUACUGGAGAGGAGAUUGGAAUUUACGGUGUAGCAGUGAAAUGCGUAGAUAUCGUAAGGAAGACCAGUGGCGAAGGCGAAUCUCUGGACAGUUACUGACACUGAGCACGAAGGCCAGGGGAGCAAACGGG